rnacentral:rRNA from 1 species
CCUACGGGGUGCUGCAGUGGGGAAUAUUGCGCAAUGGGCGAAAGCCUGACGCAGCGACGCCGCGUGAGGGAUGAAGGUCUUCGGAUCGUAAACCUCUGUCAGCAGGGAAGAACGGUCACUGUGCUAAUCAGCAGUGAAUUGACGGUACCUGCAAAGGAAGCACCGGCUAACUCCGUGCCAGCAGCCGCGGUAAUACGUAGGGUGCGAGCGUUAAUCGGAAGUACUGGGCGUAAAGCGCUCGUAUGCGGUAUGUCAAGUCAAGGGGGAAAUCCCCGCGCUCAACGUGGGAACGGCCUUUGAAACUGGAAAACUGGAGUGUCUGGGAGGAUAGUGGAAUUCCAGGGGUAGGAGUGA